UUCAAACACGCUCCACAGAGGAGUCCACGGAUGCUCCUUCACACUCAGGAUGUGGAAGAAUGGAAAUCUUCAGAACAAGAGUUAACCUCCUGUGCCUCUAUGAGAAGCAGAUGAUCUCACUUCAAGGCCCAGGAAGUCAAAAGCCAUACAAAGUGUGGUUCUGCACCAAUAACAAGAUGUGUGGAUGGAGUGAGACAAAAAAACAAGAAGAAGAGAGAAGCAAACAGCAACACUUUCCAUUUUAGACAUUAAAUGUUACAUGAUAGGCUGC